UUUGCUCUUUUUUCUUGCUUUAUUUUAUUUGUGCGCUAUUUGCUUUUGAAAUUUUUAUCUAUUUCUUUCUAAAAAGUUUUUUCAUCAUAUUUCAGGUUUAAGAGAUCUUAAUUGAAGACAUGAGUUGAAUUGCUGGUUCAACCUCGAUGCAAUUUGUGUUUAUUGAUAGUACUUUAGAGUUUAGAGUUAGUUUCAUUGAAAUUAUUGAUAGUAUUGUGUUUUAAUGUUUUACUCGUGAUUAUAAUGGAAAGGAUAUUUAAGAGAUUCAAUAUUAUUA
rnacentral:lncRNA from 1 species